UACUAACCACUGUUUCUUGAAAAAUGUUAUUUAUGUAUGUGCUUCUCUGUAAGAGACAAAAUAAGGUUGCCUGUAUAUAUUUUCUACUAUGAAAAGUCCAUUUAUUUGGCAAAUUUGUAACUGAAUCCCUACUACCUGUAUCACACUGGACUAGGCCCCCUGAGGAUACAAGGAUGUAUGGAAUCAGGUUCCUGCCCUCUGGGACCUUAACACGCAGAGGAAAGAUGAGACUGGCAAAAUUGGAAAACUGGAUAAUGCCAAGUGCUGGAGGGGUUUGGGGUAUGCAAAUUUCCAUGGAUAGCUGCUGGGAGUGGCGUAGCCAUUCUGGAAAGGUUCGGGUCCAGGCUGACCAAGGAGCACCUAUCUAGGACAUGCCAUUGUGACAGAUUAAAAAGAGAGAUGGUGGAACCAUA